CCCUGCCAUUUGUACACACCGCCCGUCGCACCUACCGAUUGAAUGGUCCGGUGAAGCCUCGGGAUUGUGGUGAGUUCCCUUUAUUGGGAGUUCAUCGCGAGAACUUGUCUAAACCUUAUCAUUUAGAG
rnacentral:rRNA from 1 species